AGUAAUAUAUCGGAACGUGCCCAGUCGUGGGGGAUAAACGGUAGCCGAAAGCUACGCUAAUACCGCAUACGAUCUAUGGAUGAAAGCGGGGGAUCGCAAGACCUCGCGCGAUUGGAGCGGCCGAUAUCAGAUUAGGUAGUUGGUGAGGUAAAGGCUCACCAAGCCCGACGAUCUGUAGCUGGUCUGAGAGGACGACCAGCCACACUGGGACUGAGACCACGGCCCAGACUCCUACGGGAGGCAGCAGUGGGGAAUUUUGGACAAUGGGCGCAAGCCUGAUCCAGCAAUGCCGCGUGCAGGAUGAAGGCCUUCGGGUUGUAAACUGCUUUUGUACGGAACGAAACGGUGAGCUCUAAUACAGUUUGCUAAUGACGGUACCGUAAGAAUAAGCACCGGCUAACUACGUG
rnacentral:rRNA from 1 species